UCCCAGGUGGCUCAGUGGUAAAGAAUCUGCUUGCCAAUGCAGGAGACGCAGGUUCAAUUCCUGGGUUGGGAA
rnacentral:tRNA from 1 species